AUAGCAUAUCAAUAAGCGGAGGAAAAGAAACUAACAAGGAUUCCCCUAGUAACUGCGAGUGAAGAGGGAAAAGCUCAAAUUUAAAAUCUGGCAGUCUUUUGGCUGUCCGAGUUGUAAAUUAGAGAAGUGUUGCCCGUGUUGGACCGUGUACAAGUCUCCUGGAAUGGAGCGUCAUAGAGGGUGAGAAUCCCGUCUUUGACACGGACUACCAAUGCAUUGUGGUACACUCUCGAAGAGUCGUGUUGUUUGGGAAUGCAGCACUAAAUGGGUGGUAAAUUCCAUCUAAAGCUAAAUAUUGGCGAGAGACCGAUAGCAAACAAGUACCGUGAGGGAAAGAUGAAAAGAACUUUGGAAAGAGAGUUAAACAGUACGUGAAAUUGUUGAAAGGGAAACGCUUAAAGUCCAGUCGCGUUAGUUGGAAAUCAGUCUUGCUUUUGCUUGAUGUACUUUCUAAUUGACGGGUCAACAUCAGUUUUGACCGUUGGAUAAAGGUUGAAGGAAUGUGGCAUCUUCGGAUGUGUUAUAGCCUUCAGUUGUAUACAACGGUUGGGACUGAGGAACUCAGCACGCCGUAAGGCAGGGUCUUGUACCACUUUCGUGCUUAGGAUGUUGGCAUAAUGGCUUUAAUCGACCCGUCUUGAAACACGGACCAAGGAGUCUAACAUGCUCGCGAGUAUUUGGGUGGAAAACCCAAGUGCGCAAUGAAAGUGAAAGUUGAGAACUCGUUAGAGUGCAUCGACGCCCAUGCCAGAUGUUUUACUGACGGACAUGCGGUAGAGCGAGUACGUUGGGACCCGAAAGAUGGUGAACUAUGCCUGAAUAGGGUGAAGCCAGAGGAAACUCUGGUGGAGGCUCGUAGCGAUUCUGACGUGCAAAUCGAUCGUCGAAUUUUGGGUAUAGGGGCGAAAGACUAAUCGAACCAUCUAGUAGCUGGUUCCUGCCGAGUCUCCCCUCAGGAAAACA
rnacentral:rRNA from 1 species